AGUGAACGCUGGCGGCGUGCUUAACACAUGCAAGUCGAACGAGAACGGGUUAUAGCUUGCUAUAAUUGUCAGCUAAGUGGCGCAUGGGUGAGUAAUGUAUAGGUAAUAUGCCUCUUACUAAGGGAUAACAAAUGGAAACGUUUGCUAAUACCUUAUACUCCUUAUUAACAUAAGUUAAUAAUGGAAAGAUUUAUUGGUAAGAGAUUAGCCUGUAUUGUAUCAGUUAGUUGGUGGGGUAAUGGCUUACGAAGACUAUGACACAUAACUGGUUUGAGAGAAUGAUCAGUCACACUGGAACUGAGACACGGUCCAGACUCCGACGGGAGGCAGCAGUGGGGAAUAUUGCACAAUGGACGAAAGUCUGAUGCAGCAACGCCGCGUGGAGGAUGACACAUUUCGGUGCGUAAACUCCUUUUAUAUGAGAAGAUAAUGACGGUAUUAUAUGAAUAAGCACCGGCUAACUCCGUGCCAGCAGCCGCGGUAA
rnacentral:rRNA from 1 species